ensembl:lincRNA linc-135 ncRNA
CUUGAAGGGGAGGUUUCUAAAAGUGAAACUGUCUAUAUGACGGUAUUGAUGACGGGGCAAGAGCAAAAGUGAUAGAGCACACACACAUGCUCCAAUCCAUUAGAAAAAGACAAUCUUCGACCAUUCCCAAUUGUCACGUUUCCCCCACACACAUUCAAUUUAUCAUCUUUUAAAUGGUGAAAAAGUUUCGCCGAAACAGAAAAAUCAAAACUGUGUCGGUCAAAGUUCGUGGUCAAUAAACUUGUUUUUGUGAAGGAUCAGAAGGUGAAGCUUACUUUUUAAAGAGCGUGUGAUUUUUCCUGGAUUUUUAGUAAAUGAUUUUCGAGAUACGCAGCGAACAAAGUUAUGAUUUUUGACCCGGAACUUAUUUGGAGACCUAAUACUAACCAUAUUAAUUCAAUAAAUUUAUUUGAGAAGAUCUUCAGGUGAGUAAAUUUAAUUUUAAUUGGAAAAGUAUAAAAGUUGCUUGUUUCUGUUUUUUAUUUCCACUUGAACUGUCAUGGUUGGAAACAAGGUGAUGUGAAGUAAUAGCAACUUGAAGAUAAUCUUAAUUAUUUCUAGCCAAUAUUUUGAGUCGACACAGCAAAUUUUGUCCUCGACAGGCCACCCAAACCAGCUGUGAUGACACCUUUUGUCUGGUGUAAACACUAUUUAUCUCUCUUAUCUCUUCUAUUAUAUUUUUCUUUGUUGUUAAUUGUGGGUGUCCAUGACAACUUGGAACAUUGCUUUAUUCAUGUUUUGUUUUGUCAACGAAAACAUCAGAUGUUAGGAAAAGGUGCAUCUUAUCUUUAAAUUUGAAAUAAACAACAUGGUACAAAGAACAUUUGAAAUAAUCUGGAAGAAAAUUUUGAAACGGUUUGCUUAAAUAUGGAAAUAUUUUUUUGGAAAAAUUGCAAAAUAAAUUUCAGAUGUCUGGAAAAUCAAAUGUCGAUUUCGCGAGGGACCAACCCAAGGAAUGAGAGAGGUUCGUCGGGAACAAACGAGCAAUGGAGAAUUCCCGAAAGUUCAAAAAUAUUCUAGUUUAAUUGUUUUCCAAUUUUUGUGCUUUUUUUUUGCUUUAAGCUCCAUAAUCUUUAAAUAUUUGUUCAAAAAAUCUCACAAAAGU